rnacentral:rRNA from 1 species
AUGCCUGGGAAUAUGCCUUGAUGUGGGGGAUAACUAUUGGAAACGAUAGCUAAUACCGCAUAAUGCCUACGGGCCAAAGAGGGGGAUCUUCGGACCUCUCGCGUCAAGAUUAGCCCAGGUGGGAUUAGCUAGUUGGUGGGGUAAAGGCUCACCAAGGCGACGAUCCCUAGCUGGUCUGAGAGGAUGAUCAGCCACACUGGAACUGAGACACGGUCCAGACUCCUACGGGAGGCAGCAGUGGGGAAUAUUGCACAAUGGGGGAAACCCUGAUGCAGCCAUGCCGCGUGUAUGAAGAAGGCCUUCGGGUUGUAAAGUACUUUCAGCAGUGAGGAAGGUGGUAAUGUUAAUAGCAUUAUCAUUUGACGUUAGCUGCAGAAGAAGCACCGGCUAACUCCGUGCCAGCAGCCGCGGUAAUACGGAGGGUGCGAGCGUUAAUCGGAAUUACUGGGCGUAAAGCGCAUGCAGGCGGUCUGUUAAGCAAGAUGUGAAAGCCCGGGGCUCAACCUCGGAACAGCAUUUUGAACUGGCAGACUAGAGUCUUGUAGAGGGGGGUAGAAUUUCAGGUGUAGCGGUGAAAUGCGUAGAGAUCUGAAGGAAUACCGGUGGCGAAGGCGGCCCCCUGGACAAAGACUGACGCUCAGAUGCGAAAGCGUGGGGAGCAAACAGGAUUAGAUACCCUGGUAGUCCACGCCGUAAACGAUGUCUACUUGGAAGGUUGGUGUCUUGAACACUGGCUUUCGGAGCUAACGCGUUAAGUAGACCGCCUGGGGAGUACGGUCGCAAGAUUAAAACUCAAAUGAAUUGACGGGGGCCCGCACAAGCGGUGGAGCAUGUGGUUUAAUUCGAUGCAACGCGAAGAACCUUACCUACUCUUGACAUCCAGAGAAUUCGCUAGAGAUAGCUUAGUGCCUUCGGGAACUCUGAGACAGGUGCUGCAUGGCUGUCGUCAGCUCGUGUUGUGAAAUGUUGGGUUAAGUCCCGCAACGAGCGCAACCCUUAUCCUUGUUUGC